AUAUUAAUAAGCGGAGGAAAAGAAACUAACAAGGAUUCCCCUAGUAACGGCGAGUGAAGCGGGAAGAGCUCAUCUUUAAAAUCUUAGUGGCUUGCCACUACGAAUUGUAGUAUGAAGAAGUGUUUUCGGUGACGGCGCUGGCUCAAGUCUCCUGGAAUGGAGCGUCAGAGAGGGUGACAAUCCCGUCUGUGGCUAGUGCGUCUGGAACCAUAUGAUACGCUUUCGUAGAGUCGGGUUGUUUGGGAAUGCAGCCCAAAAUGGGUGGUAAAUUCCAUCUAAAGCUAAAUAUUGGCGAGAGACCGAUAGCGCACAAGUA
rnacentral:rRNA from 1 species